ensembl:misc_RNA Metazoa_SRP Metazoan signal recognition particle RNA
GCUGGGUGUGGUGGCUCACACCUGUAAUCCCAGUACUUUGGGAGGCUGAGGCAGGCAUAUCACUUGAGUUCAGGAGUUCAAGAUUUGCCUGGGCAACAUAGUGAGAUCCUGUCUCUACUGAAAACAAUUAGCUGGGUGUGGUGGCACAUGCCUGCAGUCCCAGCUACUCAGGAGGCUGAGAUAGAAGGAUCACUUGAACCCUGGGGGACAGAGGUUGCAGUGAGGCAAGAUUGCACCACUGCACUCCAGCCUGGGUGACAGAUUGAGACCCUGUCUCA